UCGACUUCUUCUUCCAAAAGCGACCUCUCCGAUGUAGCUCACGAAAUCAAACCGUCGCCGAGCUCUGUAACGCCUCCCAAACCAUUAAUCCUUUUUUUACUCUGAUUUUUCCUCAAUUAAUCCACCCAGCCCAUGUUAAUCAAACAAAAUACCUCUUCGUUGUCCAUCGUAACUGGUUCGAGCUUCCUCUAUAAAUGUCUCUCAUUUCUUCGAUGGUGAGUACAACCCAAACGAUUUCGCAAACGAUUUCGCUGCUCAACACAGUCCGGCUUCUGAGGUUUUUGAGUCCCAUCAUGUGAAGAAAGGAAGCGAAAUCAUUGGGUCGACAUGCUGUCCGUAGACAAGCAGGUGAUGCCCGCAACCACAACUAUUCUCAAACUAUCCCUAAAUUCUAUGGAGAAUUAAAGGUUCUGUUCUAUGGGCGGGAAGUUAAUGGGAUCGAUACACAUCGUCAUUUUUGUGCCUCACUACAUGAGCGAACGAAGGAAGGUGGAUCAAUGAUGAAUUAUCUUCUUCUGUUUUCAUUUAAUAGUAUACUUGGAGGCACUGCACAGCAUCACCUCCAUACUUCAACAACAAGAAUCCAAAAUAUCGAAACUUGCACAUUCCUCAUUGAGCUGCAGCUUAGCAUGCCUUAUCCAAAUCGAGAGAUCGACUUAUCUACAUGGGAGGCUAUUGCGGUUCUACCUUAUCUAGAUAGAGAGUUCACCAGCUAAGUGGCAGGAGAAAAAUGUGUUCGGAAAAUACGUACUACUUAGAAGAGUACCUAAAUGAUAUCAAAUAUUAAAAAUUCUCUAGACCGAUAGCUUUAAUUCAGGUCAUUUACCAGUUUUGAGCUGAAUGUAACUAAUAACAGAUGAAUGUCGUCUUUAAUUUUUCACGGUUCGUAGAGGGCAAUAUACUUUAGUAAAUAUCCAAAGGGUCAGGGGAACAAAGAAC